GGUCCGCUGGCGUAAUGGCAGCGCGUCUGACUACGAUCUCGAGACUCGAGUGUGAUAUCAGGAGGUUCCAGGUUCGACCCCUGGGCGGAUCG